ACGUUCGGGUAAUCGCGGCAUCUUUUUAAAGAUGUUGAGGAAAGUCCAUGCUCGCACGGUCUGCGAUGGCCGUAGUGUUCGUGCCUGGCGAAACGAUAAGCCAGGGUAUUCCGGUUUCGACUGGAUUAACGGCAGGGAACUCACCUAAGUCCUUUUGGAUAUGGUGACACUACCUUUAAAGUGCCACAGUGACGUAGUCUUUUCGGAAACGAAAAGAGUGGAACGCGGUAAACCCCACGAGCGAGAAACCCAAAUUAUGGUAGGGGAGUUUUCUUCGCGGAAAUGAACGCGAAGAAGAACAGAUGUUAAAGCCAUCUGGAGAUAGAUGAUUACCACCGGAGUACGAGGCGGCAGCCGCAUGCAGUACAAUGGAACAGAACAUGGCUUACAGAA
rfam:Fictibacillus enclensis strain NIO-1003 genomic scaffold Scaffold1, whole genome shotgun sequence.